GACGUAGGAUGCAAGCGUUGUCCGGAUUUAUUGGGCGUAAAGAGUUCGUAGGUGGUUUGUUAAGUCUGAUGUUAAAGACUGGGGCUCAACCUCGGAAAUGCAUUGGAUACUGGCAGACUUGAGUGCAGUAGAGGCAAGCGGAAUUCCAGGUGUAGCGGUGAAAUGCGCAGAUAUCAGGAAGAACACCCGUGGCUAAGGCGGCUCUCUAGUACGGUACUGACGCUGAGACGCGAAAGCGUGGGGAGCGAACAGG
rnacentral:rRNA from 1 species